rnacentral:rRNA from 1 species
UAGGGAAUUUUCCACAAUGGGCGAAAGCCUGAUGGAGCAACGCCGCGUGCAGGAUGAAGGCCUUCGGGUUGUAAACUGCUUUUAAUAGUGACGAUUAUGACGGUAGCUAUUGAAUAAGGACCUGCUAACUACGUGCCAGCAGCCGCGGUCAUACGUAGGGUCCAAGCGUUAUCCGGAAUUACUGGGCGUAAAGAGUUGCGUAGGUGGCAUGUAAAGCAGAUAGUGAAAGCGUGUGGCUCAACCAUACAUCCAUUAUCUGAACUCACAAGCUAGAAGACGAGAGAGGUAGAUGGAAUUCCUGAUGUAGGGGUAAUAUCCGUAGAUAUCAGGAGGAACACCGAUGGCGUAGGCAGUCUACUGGCUCGUUCUUGACACUAAGGCACGAAAGCGUGGGGAGCAAACAGG